rnacentral:lncRNA from 1 species
GCGGCAGCCGAGGGGCGGGCGGCUUUGGGGGGUGGAGCCGGGACCGCAGCGCCCGCCGCUCGCUCGGCGCUUUAGCCGCCGCCGCCGCCGCUGCGCUGGGCUCGGGACGCGAGGCGGGCGCGGGGCGGGCGCUCGGUGAGGCUCCGGCGCCUGCGGCUGCUGCUCUCCGCCGGCGCCCGGGGCUGCGGCGCUCUGGGUCCCGGCCCCUGGCCCGGCGCCCCUGGCCCUCGCGCCCCCGGCCCCGGUCCCGCGUCUGCCCCGGAGAGCGCUCUCCGCCGGCCGAGCCGCCCCGGGCUCGCGCCCCCGGGCCAUGAAGAGGGGCCCGUGAGGGCGCGCGGAGGCGGUGGAAGAGGAGGGAGGAAGGAGGCCGAGGAGGAGGGCGCGGGAGGCGGAGGAUGCCGCCGCCGCCGCCGCCGCCGCCCGCCGGCCCCCGGCGAGCCUGACUCCAGACCCGAGGAUGGAGCCGGCGCUGGGCGCUGCAGCGGCUCCCGGUGCGCCCCCGACCAGGUAGCCGGUCUCCUGUCUCCAGUGUGGUCGGAAGUGGAACCGCCCUCCCUGGCUGUCCCUCCUCGAGGGCCUCUGCGUCUGGGCCGCUGUCACCGGAGCUGCCGAUUCCACCUGGAGGCCUGGGUUUGCCAGCCACAGGGCUGCCGCACAGGCUGGGACUGCGGCUCGGCCAGGAGACGUGGUGGCUGUGGACCCCCCAGCUCCGAGCAGCCCCUCUUUGCCCCAGACCCCACCUCUGCUGCGGGCCAGCUGACUCUUAGAGACUCCGGGAGCCCGAGGAGUCCUCAUCUGGGGUAAACUGCUCCCCU